UGGGGAAUAUUGCGCAAUGGGCGAAAGCCUGACGCAGCGACGCCGCGUGAGGGAUGAAGGUUUUCGGAUCGUAAACCUCUGUCAGAAGGGAAGAAACCGCACUGUGCUAAUCAGCAGUGCCUUGACGGUACCUUCAAAGGAAGCACCGGCUAACUCCGUGCCAGCAGCCGCGGUAAUACGGAGGGUGCAAGCGUUAAUCGGAAUUACUGGGCGUAAAGCGCACGUAGGCUGCUUUGUAAGUCAGGGGUGAAAUCCCACGGCUCAACCGUGGAACUGCCUUUGAUACUGCUUAGCUUGAAUCCGGGAGAGGGUGGCGGAAUUCCAGGUGUAGGAGUGAAAUCCGUAGAUAUCUGGAGGAACAUCAGUGGCGAAGGCGGCCACCUGGACCGGUAUUGACGCUGAGGUGAAAGCGUGGGGAGCAAACAGG
rnacentral:rRNA from 1 species